GAGAGGGAGAGGGAGAGAGAGAAUAUGAAUGACUAUCAAUGGGUAGGCCUGACUUAUGUUUCUGAGACUUCAAAGCCAAUUCUCACAGUUCUUCCAGCAGGACCACACCUCCACAACCUUUUCAAAUAGGGCCACUCCGUGAUGACUAAGUAUUCAAAUAUAAGAGCGCCUUGGGGACCAUUCUUAUUCAAGCAACCACAAAUACCAAAGAAAGAAAUAAGAGAAAACUUUCAGAUUGAGUUGUUCAGUUGGGCCUUGCUCUAGGAAUUUCCAUAUGGUUUAGUAAAUGUGGCUGUAGGAAUCUUGGGUGGCUCAUGACACAAUCUGGUGGCUCAUAUCUGAGCCCAUUCUGCUUAAUAAAAUUAUUUAAACUCCAAUGGAUUUUACUCAUAUAGGAAAGGAUAGGAUGCUAUGUAGGACUCAGUAAUAGCAAGGUGGCUUACAACCCUUUUAAGAAGUGUACUAGCGAUUUGUGACUGUUCAUAUUUCCUUUUAUCUUUUAGAAUUAAACCAUAUUUUAGGACAUGUUAAGAAUUACAGAAGAAUUUCAAGGAUAGCGUAGAGUUCCUGCAUGCUCCACACUCAGUGUGUCCUGUUAGUAACAUUGUACAUGGCCUGUAAGACAGCAAACUCAUGGAUAUUUGUUUCAGUGAAUUCAUUGACAUUAUUAUUGACUGAAGUUCAUAUUUUAUUUAGAUUUUCUUUUUCAGGUUUUGUGUGAUGUUCUUUUGUUGUUCCUGGAUACCAUAUGCUGUUUUGCAUAAUGGUUAUAUCUCCUUAGACUGUCCUUGGUUUUGAAUGUCUUGACAUUUUUGAGGAGUAUGGCUCAAGGCAGUGUUUGCUUUCCCCUCUUUUGAGUUUUGUUUGUUAAAUUGUUUUGGCUAGUUGAGUUUGGGGGAGAACUCGCCAUUCACCACAGCAUACUUUCCAUUCACCCCAGCUGUUCUUCCCAUCUCCCCUAGGUAAAGCUAUUUAUUCCCUUCACUUCUCUCAGGGUGUGCUCUGUAGAAAGGACUCACUCUGUGCAGACCACACUUAAAGAGUGAAGACUGUUGUUUCCUGUCACGGAAAUGAGUGAAGAACACCCAAGCAAGGACAAGUAAAGACUGCUUUCCAUUCAAAGCUUGCUAACACAUGGGUGUUAGCAACCAUGACCUGUGCAUGGCAGAGACUCAAAGGCAGGCACAGGAACAGGCUGUUGUAUAGUGGGGAAGCAGUGGAAGCUUCACUUUCGCUGGGCUUGGAAGCUUCAAUGUUGACCAAGUAUAAGUGGACAUACAGAGUCAUGCAAAGAUGGUUUUGUCUGGUCAGCCCGAAGUUAAACCUGGGAAUAGAAGUCAGCUCUGAGGUGUUGGUCAAAUCCUGACCAUCUGUGCCUGGUGAGUUCAGUACUUUUGACAAAUAGACACAGACAAGGUGGCUUAUGCGAAAUUGCUUAUCCUCUUUCUGGAGGCCGCAGUCCCAGAUCAAGGUGCUGGUCGGCCUGGUGUCUGGUACCAUCUCCUGGUGUCUGCACAUGGUGGAAAGCAGGAGAAGAGGAGGUGAGCUUUCUGUGUGCAGCGUUGCUAACACGCCCAUCUGGGUGUGGAGCACACAGGAACUCUACUGUCUUUCACGUGUCACUUGUCCCAGCCUGCAUGUGCAGGUUUGAGUUGAUGGUGAGGCUGUGCAGGGAUGCCAUUGUCUGCUUAGUCCCUAUGUCCUUUACCAAAAUCACAACACAUUGCGUUUCAACACCAUUACCAUUAUUGUAAGCAGGGCCAGGGCUAAGUUGAGGCAUGUGAGGUUGCUGAGCUGCAGAAAGCUUUCUGUGAAUGCUGUCUUCUCAAGAUGCAAGCGCUUCCAAAGCCCUCUCCCAGUCCAAGUGCUAUCAUAUACAUGGCUGCUUCUUGCAUUACAAACUAGCAAACAAAAUAGCUGAAGACUUUACUUGCUUCAAACUUUACUAACAAUCGUUUCCCAUCUGAGAAACUCACAAACCUAGUAGCAAUGUCUAUACAUUGUAAUACACAGUGUCUGAGUCACCACCUUCACACACUUGUCCCAGCCUGCAUGUGCAGGUUUGAGUUGAUGGUGAGGCUGUGCAGGGAUGCCAUUGUCUGCUUAGUCCCUACGUCCUUUACCCAAAUCACAACACAUUGCGUUUCAACACCGUUACCAUUAUUUUAAGCAGGGCCACUAAGUUGAGGCAUAUGAGGUUGCUUAGCCGCAGAGGCUAAGGAGGAGUUCUCAGUUCUGAAGGGACAAGCUCAAUGCUUGAUGGACUCGGCUCUCUUUAAUUCUGUACUCUAGGCACCUUCCUUACCACAAUUUUUUUUUCUUCCUUGAUUACAAAUUACAUUUUGUUUAUUUCUCCUUCAUGUUUUUGUUAGGAUAGUAUGUGGAUUUUUUGAAGCUUAUGUGCUAAUAGUGGGGUUUUUCUUAUUAAAAUUUUUUUUUUAUAGACUGGAGGGUCUUUAAAAUGAUUGUUUAUGAAGGGAGAUGCCAAGACUGGGGUAAGCCAGAAGGCUCACUAUUUACAGUCACUCACCAUACAAGCGUGGGGUCAGAGUCUGAUGGUUGUGGAGAAAACUAACACUCCAAAGUUAUCCUUUAGCUCUACACAUGUGCUGUGGCACGUGUGUGUCCUCUACCUCAGCUUCCACCAACAGCAAAUAAAAACAAAAUAAAAUUUAAACUCAGUGUAGUAAGUCAUUAGGCAUGCCUCGUUCCUUCUCAGUCCGGGGUCUGUAACUCACGUGCCCUGGGCUGGACUCUUGACUGGGCUCUGGUUUCAGUCUACAGAUGCAGCUGAGAUUGGCUCCAGGUCCGCUCCUUGUCUCUCCAGGUCUGUUCUUUGUCUCUCCUCUCAGAUAAUCAGGGCAAGUUCUUCUCAUGGGAAGUGUCAGAAGGAAAAAUAAAAAUAAAAGUAGGAAGUUGGCCAUCCCCCUCCCCUC
rnacentral:lncRNA from 1 species